UUUAUGGAGAGUUUGAUCCUGGCUCAGGAUGAACGCUGGCGGCGUGCCUAAUACAUGCAAGUCGAGCGAACGGACGAGAAGCUUGCUUCUCUGAUGUUAGCGGCGGACGGGUGAGUAACACGUGGAUAACCUACCUAUAAGACUGGGAUAACUUCGGGAAACCGGAGCUAAUACCGGAUAAUAUUUUGAACCGCAUGGUUCGAAAGUGAAAGACGGUCUUGCUGUCACUUAUAGA
rnacentral:rRNA from 1 species